ensembl:lncRNA
CUAGUUUUCUUUGAUACUUGGGUGGGAAGAUAAUGUGGUGGCACCAAAGGUAAAAUUCGUGUCUUAUAAGGGACCUGCAUUCUAUAUCCUUCAUGUAAGAUUGGUAUUUGUUGAUUGCAAGUAGUAGAAAGGCAGCUCAAAUUCAUAUAAUAAAUAAAGGUAUUGUUGGCUUAUGUACCUGGAAAAUACAGUGGUGCAUCUGACUUCAGGAAUGAUCGGAAUUAGAGGCCCAAAUAUUGGCAUGGAAACACUAUCCACGUCUAGCCUGGCUUUCCGUUCUAUAUCUUGGUGUCGUUCUCAAAUACUUUUUCUUUUUUUAUGGUAACCACCAGCACCUUCAGGUUUAUAAUCUUAGUUGUUAAAGAGUGGGAAAAGAGAUCUCCUUAUUAUCAAUACUUACAGCAAAAAUUUCAGGUAUGAUCCUACUUGGCCCAGUCUCAAUCAUAUGCCCAUAGCUGAACUAAUUACUGUGAUCAAAGACAUGGUGUCCUAAUAACCUAGGGCUAAAUCAUCACAUUGAUAGAUGUGGGAGAAAAGGAGUUCCCUGAAGAGGGGCAUGGCCAGCAAAAAGCAUAAACUUUUAAAUAUACUGCAGCAUAAAAUAAGUUGGAGCUACUCUAAUAUAGGGAUAUUUGAAUUUCAUUUAAGGCAAAUCGCAUAGUCUCUUUUUCAAGAAAAUAGCUGUUGACUUGACCAACGUAACAUAUAACAAUCUUUAACAUUCAGAGAUACUAUAGGAGAAUGCCUAAACUUUUAGCUGAACCGUGAGUCCAGAAUGCUGACCUUCCAUAGAAGUCAAAAUGAUCUUACCAAUAAAUACUACCUCGAUGGGAACAAGUGUAUUAGACUCUUCUUCAAGGACUGUUUGGAACAAGAUGAGAAUGAAUGCCCCAAGCACCCUGCAGUGGAGUGCUUACAGGCACUUGGAGCUCUGAAGAUAAAGUUUGCCAACUUGAAACCUUUUCCUGGACUGGCUCAUCACUGGGUCAGUCGUCUCAUAUUUGAACAAAAGAAAACAAAUGUGAUAUUUAAAACUAGAGAUAUGUCUAUAUUGGAAGAAAAAGGACAAGAAUAACUACUAUGAUGAAAACCACCCUUGUGUAAGAAAAUGUUAAGGAAAGGUCUCAGACCAAUCUGGAUGAGAGAGGUCAAGACCCAGGAGAAGCAAAAUUGCUCUGGCAAUAAAGCGACAAUCUUUUCUACCAGCCAUGCAGAGAAACGAGAGUGUAAGAGUGUAUUCUAGCAACAUGUCAAUGGACUUGAAUCUAAGGAAAGAAACAAGAGAGCCCCCCUGAGUGAGGCGAUGGACAAUGGAUUUAGCAACAGUAGAGUUCAGAUUUACUCCUGGUUUUCUUUCAUAAUUACCUUCUGUUACAUCAAUUAUGAGCUGAUCUUGGAUCAUUUUGUCAUGCACAACUCUUAGGCUCUUUUUUGUGAAUAACACUGGCCUCGAAAGAAGUUUAAAGUAAGUAAAGGUUAGCUACUGCCACAUAACCUUGCUAUAAUAAAGGUAAACUUACUAGUAGUGAAAACAAGUCUCUGACCAUAUCCGGC